AGGAAGAGGAGGAAGAUGAAGAAGAUGAGGAGGAAGAGGAGGAAGAGGAGGAGGAGGAAGAGGAAGAAGGAGAAUCCUCCGAGGCUGAAGGGCGGGUGAAGGUCAAGGAGGAAGAGGAGAUGGAGGAGGAGGAAGAGGAGGAAGGAAGAGAAGCCACGGCGGCACAGGGAGUGGCCGAUCCGGGGGUCCUGGCGCUGCCCCUCCCACCCCCCGCGGCCGAGGGGGAAGGGGGGGUUCCCGGGGGGGUCCCUGAGCCCCUCCCCCCCGCCAAAGCCGAACUUUUCGUGCUGGAAAUUGAAACUUUCCCCCUGGAGCCGGGGGAGACCCCUCCCCCCUCCCUCUCCCCCUCCCCUCCCCCCGCCCUGGGCGGCUCCGAGGCCACGCCCAAAGCCACGCCCCCCUCCCCUCCCCCUCCCCGCUUCCAGCUGGAUUUCGGGGCGCGGGGGGGCCACAAGCGCCCCUCCCCCCCUUCGCCCUGCCCCUCCCCCCCCAGGGCUGCGCUGGGGGGAGGCGCGGGCGCCGCCAUCAGCUCCACCUCCCUCAAUGGGGGAGGGGCUGCGACCCCCCCGGGACCCCCCCCCAGGAAACUGAGCCGGAUGGAGCUGCCUGGGGGGGGCAGCCUGGCGGUAACUGGGGGGGGCUCGGAGGGGGAGGAGCCGGAUUUGGGGGGGCGCCCCCCCCUCUCCCCUGCCCGACUCCACCCGCGCCGACUCCCCCGGGGGGGACCUGGUGAGCUCCUCCCAGGGGAGCCCCCCCCGGGCAGCCCCCCGGGCCUGCAAGGCCAGCGUGGGAACCCAGUGCGACCCCGAGGAGAUCAUCGUGCUCUCGGACUCGGAUUAGCCCCGCCCCCCGCCCGGCAAAUCCCGCCCCUUCCGCGUGCAGACCCCGCCCCUCUGGCCCCGCCCCCUCAAUAAACCCCGCCUUUUGUUUACGCGUGCGGCUCCGCCCAUUUGUGGGCGCGGUCUGCGGUGACGGCGCCUGUUGUAUCGCGACAUGACGUCAUACAGGGGGUGUGGUCUGUGCGGAUCAACGGGCGCGGCGCCUUUAAGGGGCGUGGCGGGUCCGGGGGCGUGGCUGGCGGGUUCAAGAUGGCGGCGGCGGCGCCGUGAGGGCUGAGCGCGGGUAACGCGGGCGGGGGGCGGGGCCUGCGCGGGAGGGGGCGGGGCCUGCGCGGGAGGGGGCGGGGCAAGGGGCGGGGGGGGAAUUGGGCAGAAUUUGGGGGGUCCUGGUGGGGCUUGAGGGGGAUAUGGGGGGGAAUUAAUGGGAUCUGGGGGUUCCUGGGGGGGAUUUGGGCGGUCUGGGAGGGAUUUGGGGGGAAUUAACGGGGUUUCGGGGGUCCUUGGGGGGGUCAGCGGGGGAUUUGGGAAAGAUCUAGGGAUUCUGGGGGUCCUGGGACGAAUUUGAGGGGAAUUUGGCGGGUCUGAGAUGGAUUUGGGUGGAUCUAGGGGACCUGGGAGGCGUUUGGGGGGGAUCAGGGGGGAAAUUAAAGGGGUUUGAGGGGGGGUCUGGCUGGGAUUUGGGGGUUGUGGGAGGGAUUUGGGGAGGAUUUGAGGGUCCUGGAGGGGAAUUAAUGGGAUUUGGGUGGUCCCUGGUGGGACUGGGGGGGAUUUGGGGAGCAUCUGGGGGGUCCUGGUGGGGACUGGGGAAAGAUUUGGGGGAUUCUGGGGGUCCUGGCGGGGAUUUGGGGUCCCAUUGGCGGGGAAUUAAUGGGAUUUGUGGGGUUCUGGGGGGUCCUGAGGGGGUUUGAGGGGGCUUUGGGGGGUCGUGAGAGGGAUUUGGGGGGAUUAGAGGGGUCCUGGGGGUUAUUGUGGGGUCCAGGGGAUGGAUCUGGGGGGACUUGGGAGGGCUUGGGUGGGAUUUGGGGGAAACUGGGAAGGAAUUUGGGGUUUUGGGGGGAUUCGGGGCGGUUUUGAGGGAUCCUUUGGGGGAUUUGGGGGGGAUUUGGGGGGUCCCGAGAGGGUCCAGGGGGGAAUUUGGAGGAGCUCAGGGGAUUUUGGGGGGUCCUUUGAGGGAUUUGGUGGUUUUGGGGGGUCCUUUGGGGUAUUUUGGGCGGGAUUUUGGGGAGAGUUUGGGGGAUUUGGGGGUUUCUGGUUCUUUGGAGUUUUGGGAUUUGGGGUGGAAAAUUUAUGGGAUUUUGGUCAGGAUAUCUCAGGAUUUUAUGGGAACUUUAUGGGAUUUCAGUCAGGAUUAAAGCUUUUGGGUCAGAAUUGAGGGAUUUAGGCAAAAUUUGGGACCAAAAGUUGGGAUUUGGGGGGGAUUUAAUGGGAUUUCGGUCAGAAUUAAGAAAUCUGGACAGAUCUAAAGGAAUUUGAGGCAAAAUUCAUGGGGUUUGGGGUGGAAUUAAUGGGUUUUCAGUCAGAAUUUGGGGAUUUUAGGGAGAAUUAAUGGAAUUCAGGCCAGGAUUAAUGGGAUUUCGGCCAGGUUUAGUGGAAUUUCGGCUAAAAUUAAAGGAUUUGGUCAAAAUUUUGGGGCUUUGGUUCAGAAUUUGGGAUUUUGGUGGGAGUUGAGGGAUUUCGGGAAGGAUUAAGAGAAUUUGAGCCAGAAUUGUGAGAUUUGGGUAAAAUUUGUGGGAUUUUGGUCAGAAUUAGGGGAUUUGAGGCAGAAUUUAGGGCAUUUGGGGCAGAAUUUAAAAGUCUGAGUGAGAAUUUAAUGGGGUUUGGGGCAGAAUUCAAGGAUUUUGGCCAAAUUUAGGGAAUUAAUGGGGUUUUGGACAGAAUGAAGGAAUUCCAGGGAGAAUGAACAGAUUUUGCUUGUGAUUCAGGGUUUAGGUCAGGACUUUGGUACAGAAUUAAUGGGGUUCAGGCUGAAAUUAAUGGGAUUUAGACCAUAAUUAAUGGAAUUUUGGUUGGAAUUGGUGGGAUUUUGUGCAGAAUUAAGGGAAUUUGAGGCAAAAUCAGUAGAAUUGGAAUCACAAUUAAUGGGAUUUGGACUGGAAUUAAUGGGAUUUGAGUCAGAAUGAAGGGAUUUGGGGGUUGGAUUAAGGGAUUUGAGUUGAAACUAAUGGGAUUUUGCUUGGAAUUAAGGGAUUUGGGCUGGAAUUAAGGAAUUUUAUACAGAAUUGGUGGGAUUUUGGCCAGAUUUCUGUGAUUUGGGGUAGAAUUAAGGGAUUUGUGUUGGAAUUAAUGAGACUUGAGCCACAAUUAAGGGAUUUGGUGCAGAAUUGGUGGGAUUUGGUGCAGAAUAUCAGGAUUUGGGCCAGAAUUAAGGAAUUUGGGUCAGAAAUCAUGGAAAUUGACCAGAAUUAAAGGAUUUGGUGCAGAAUUAAGGGAUUCAGGGUAGAAUUAAGGCAUUUGUGUUGGAAUUAAUGAGAUUUGAGCCAGAAUUAGGGGAUUUGAUACAAAAUCAGUGGGAUUUUGGUUGGAAUUAA
ensembl:lncRNA